CCCCAGUAACCAGGUGGUGGAUGUGAUCCAUGGGAAUUUGGGAUAUUUUUCCAUUUAGGAACAGGGUGAAUGCUGAAGGUUCCGUCAUGAGGAGGUGAUGGAUCUGAUCCAUGAAAAUCUGGGCUAUUUUUCCAUGCAGGAACAGGGUGAACAUGGAAGGUUCCCCAAUAAACAGGUGGUGGAUCUGAUCCAUGGGAAUUUGGGCUAUUUUUCCACGGAGGAAUGGGGUGAACAUGGAAGGUCCCCUCAUAAGCAGGUGAUGGAUGUGAUCCAUGGGAAUUUGGGAUAUUUUUCCCUUUAGGAACAGGGUGAAUGUUGAAGGUUCUGUCAUGAGCAGGUGGUGGAUGUGAUCCAUGGGAAUUUGGGAUAUUUUCCCUUUAGGAAUGGGGUGAAUGUUGAAGGAGCCAUGCACAAGUAGGUGCUGAAUGUGAUCCAUGGGAAUCUGGGAUAUUUUCCAUGUAGGAACAGUGUGAAUGUUGAAGGAGCCACACACAAGCAGGUGAUGGAUCUGAUCCAUGGGAAUUUGGGAUAUUUUUCCAUGGAGGAACAGGGUGAACAUGGAAGGUCCCCUCAUAAGCAGGUGGUGGAUGUGAUCCAUGGGAAUUUGGGAUAUUUUUCCAUUUAGGAAUGGUGUGAACAUGGAAGGAGCCCCAAUAAACAGGUGGUGGAUCUGA